CAGUAGCCACGGGAACACGGAGGAUCCAAGCGUUAUCCGGAAUCAUUGGGUUUAAAGGGUCCGUAGGCGGUCUUGUAAGUCAGUGGUGAAAGCCCAUCGCUCAACGGUGGAACGGCCAUUGAUACUGCAGGACUUGAAUUAUUGGGAAGUAACUAGAAUAUGUAGUGUAGCGGUGAAAUGCUUAGAGAUUACAUGGAAUACCAAUUGCGAAGGCAGGUUACUACCAAUUGAUUGACGCUGAUGGACGAAAGCGUGGGUAGCGAACAGGAUUAGAGACCCCUGUAGUCCCUGUCUCUUAUAC
rnacentral:rRNA from 1 species